rnacentral:rRNA from 1 species
UACGUAGGGUGCGAGCGUUGUCCGGAAUUAUUGGGCGUAAAGGGCUCGUAGGCGGUUUGUCGCGUCGGGAGUGAAAACAUCCAGCUUAACUGGGUGCUUGCUUUCGAUACGGGCAGACUAGAGGUAUGCAGGGGAGAACGGAAUUCCUGGUGUAGCGGUGAAAUGCGCAGAUAUCAGGAGGAACACCGGUGGCGAAGGCGGGACUCUGGGCCGAUACUGACGCUGAGGAGCGAAAGCGUGGGGAGCAAACAGG